AUUGAACGCUGGCGGCAUGCCUUACACAUGCAAGUCGAACGGCAGCACGGGAGCAAUCCUGGUGGCGAGUGGCGAACGGGUGAGUAAAGUAUCGGAACGUGCCCAGUCGUGGGGGAUAACGUAGCGAAAGUUACGCUAAUACCGCAUACGAUCUAUGGAUGAAAGCGGGGGAUCGCAAGACCCCGCGCGAUUGGAGCGGCCGAUAUCAGAUUAGGUUGUUGGUGGGGUAAAGGCUCACCAAGCCGACGAUCUGUAGCUGGUCUGAGAGGACGACCAGCCACACUGGGACUGAGACACGGCCCAGACUCCUACGGGAGGCAGCAGUGGGGAAUUUUGGACAAUGGGCGAAAGCCUGAUCCAGCCAUGCCGCGUGCAGGAUGAAGGCCUUCGGGUUGUAAACUGCUUUUGUACGGAACGAAAAGGUUUGGCCUAAUAAGCUGAGCUCAUGACGGUACCGUAAGAAUAAGCACCGGCUAACUACGUGCCAGCCGCCGCGGUAA
rnacentral:rRNA from 1 species